CGCGUAGGCGGUCUGCUAAGCGUGCGGUGAAAGCCUGGGGCUCAACCCCAGGUCUGCCGUGCGAACUGGUGGACUUGAGCACUGUAGAGGCAGGUGGAAUUCCGGGUGUAGCGGUGGAAUGCGUAGAGAUCCGGAAGAACACCGGUGGCGAAGGCGGCCUGCUGGGCAGUUGCUGACGCUGAGGCGCGACAGCGUGGGGAGCAAACAGGAUUAGAUACCCUGGUAGUCCACGCCGUAAACGAUGGGCACUAGGUGCUUGGGGGAGCGACCCCCCGAGUGCCGGCGCUAACGCAUUAAGUGCCCCGCCUGGGGAGUACGACCGCAAGGUUGAA
rnacentral:rRNA from 1 species